UACGGAGGGUGCGAGCGUUGUCCGGAAUCACUGGGCGUAAAGGGCGCGUAGGCGGCCUGGUAAGUAGGGGGUGAAAUCCUGCGGCUUAACCGCAGGGCUGCCUUCUAAACUGUCGGGCUAGAGCACGGUAGAGGCAGAUGGAAUUCCCGGUGUAGCGGUGGAAUGCGUAGAGAUCGGGAAGAACAUCAGUGGCGAAGGCGGUCUGCUGGGCCGUUGCUGACGCUGAGGCGCGACAGCGUGGGGAGCAAACAGG
rnacentral:rRNA from 1 species